AGACUUCAGGUAGCUUGCGUCACUGCUCCUGUCUCCGUGUAACUCACAAUAAAGAGAUUUUGGCAUCAACUGUGAGCUUAGGGGUAGAGGAAGGGUAUAUGUUAGGAGGUGGGAGCGGAAUCAAUUCUUCAAAUCUUAAUGAUGGUGAAGAAGAGUGCUCACCAGAUUCCCUUCUGGUCUGGAAAAAGAAAUCCCUUCUUUUGUGGAUGUCAUCUCUACCAUCUCUCGGUGAAAAGUAUUUCAAAGAAAAAUGCCCCCAGAAGUUUGUUUGCAUCAUGAAGAUCAGAUUUUGAGAGAUCCAGUCUGGCUCUUCCCUGUACAAAACAUUCCUCACAAACAGAAUAUGGACAAUUGUUAAAUGUCAAAGGUAAAGUUAUUGUGGGAACUCCUUCAAAAAGUUCAAGUGAGAGACCAUUCUAUGAGUGACCAUUUACAUCUAAUUUUUUUCUGUGCUAUGUUACUUAUUCUGAAGUGGUUGAUCCAAUUCCUAAAAGGGAAUAUUUCAUUACCUUUUAUUUCCUAUAGCAUCCAUUCUGACCCCUUUUCGGUUUAAUUAUUCCCUGAUUCCAGUCUUCAUUCAGUCACCCAAGGACUCAUGGGAAAACUCAGUUGUUUCUAUCAAAAUUUAGCUUCAUGAACUCCAGGCCCUUGCAAAUGAUGGUUACCAGGUGAGAAAUGUCUCACUGGCAACAGAAGUUGGCAGACCCAGCUCCAGUUCCAUCCCAGCCAACAUACCAAUGGCAUUAAAAUAAGGCCAUUCAUCAAGGUGGAAACUAUUACUAGAAACAACAUUCUAAAGUGCCAUUUGAGUGCCAGGCUCUCAACACUGGGCAUAGCGCUGCUCCAUGAGGCUUUUGAGAGCAUGUACUGAGGCAUGACCAAAAAAAUUAAGUCCCAUGUAAGUGAUGCAACUGCUCCCCAAUGACUGUGGAAGUAUCUGCAGACUAACUAUUGUGCGUGUGUGUUUGUUUGCUUUAAUGAAUAAAUUCAGUCAACCAACCAUCUAGCUAUUGACUAAAUCCAUUCUUUUUCUUCCAAAAUGUCUAUUGGCUGAAGUUUACUGGUUUUUAUUUCUAUUUGCAUGCAUAAUUUUCUACACCCCAUUCUCAUGGAACCUUCUCUAAGUUCCUCUCUAUGGCCCUAUCCAUGUUCAUAUGGAUACACAUAAAGACACAAAUACACCAAACUAAAUUUAGAGCAGUCUGAUGCCUGCUUCGGCCUCAUCUCCUGCUUCUACCCUCUUUAGUUUAGGAAAAACAGGUAACAUUGAAUCAAGUUGAAGUUAUCACUUUGAUGUUUAUCAAUUAACAU
rnacentral:lncRNA from 1 species